CACCGCGGUUAUACGAGAGGCCCAAGUUGAUAGUCCACGGCGUAAAGAGUGGUUAGAAAGAACCUAUUACUAAAGCCGAACGCCCGCAUGGCUGUUAUACGCUUCCGGAGGUGAGAAGCCCAUCCACGAAAGUAGCUUUAUAAACUUGAACCCACGAAAGCUAGGAAA
rnacentral:rRNA from 1 species